UAUUUAUAUACUAUAUUGUGAUUUGUGAGUAUUAUAAUAACGUAUCUAUACAUAAAAUAUCAUUGGCCAUGGAUGCCGAAAAUACUGAAUUAUUUUUGCAUUCUAUUCGAGAUUAUCCCGUAUUAUACGCAAUUGGACACGCAGAUUAUAAAAAUACGUACAAAAAAGAGGUAGCAUGGAGAAAACUUCAAGAAAAGACUCUGAUAGAUGUAGAAGGAACCGGGAUGUACUCUGGCUGUAGUAUUUUCCAAAUUUGUUCGCAUACUUGAGUUACUAUCUUUGAAACGGUGCAUUCACCCAAACGAUAAGAAAAAUAUAUUGUUGUGUAUGUGUCACCAGUUGCUAAAAAUGACAUUGACUGAGAU